CCUACGGGUGGCAGCAGUGAGGAAUAUUGGUCAAUGGACGAGAGUCUGAACCAGCCAAGUAGCGUGAAGGAUGACUGCCCUAUGGGUUGUAAACUUCUUUUAUAUGGGAAUAAAAUGUUCCACGUGUGGGAUUUUGUAUGUCCCAUAUGAAUAAGGAUCGGCUAACUCCGUGCCAGCAGCCGCGGUAAUACGGGGGAUCCGAGCGUUAUCCGGAUUUAUUGGGUUUAAAGGGAGCGUAGGUGGAUUGUUAAGUCAGUUGUGAAAGUUUGCGGCUCAACCGUAAUAUUGCAGUUGAAACUGGCAGUCUGGAGUGUAGGAGAGGUGGGCGGAAUUCGUGGUGUAGCGGUGAAAUGCUUAGAUAUCACGAAGAACCCCGAUUGCGAAGGCAGCUCACCGGACUGCAACUGACACUGAGGCUCGAAAGUGUGGGUAUCAAACAGGAUUAGAUACCCUAGUAGUC
rnacentral:rRNA from 1 species